rnacentral:rRNA from 1 species
CCUACGGGAGGCAGCAGUGAGGAAUAUUGGUCAAUGGCCGAGAGUCUGAACCAGCCAAGUCGCGUGAGGGAAGAAUGUCCUAUGGAUUGUAAACCUCUUUUGUCAGGGAGCCAAGUCACCCACGUGUGGGUGUUGGAGAGUACCUGAAGAAAAAGCAUCGGCUAACUCCGUGCCAGCAGCCGCGGUAAUACGGAGGAUCCAAGCGUUAUCCGGAUUUAUUGGGUUUAAAGGGUGCGUAGGCGGAUUGAGAAGUUAGAGGUGAAAUGUCCGAGCUUAACUCGGGAACUGCCGCUAAUACUGUUGAUCUAGAGAGUAGAUGCGGUAGGCGGAAUGUAUGGUGUAGCGGUGAAAUGCUUAGAGAUCAUACAGAACACCGAUUGCGAAGGCAGCUUACCAAUCUAUAUCUGACGUUGAGGCACGAAAGCGUGGGGAGCAAACAGGAUUAGAUACCCCUGUAGUC